UACGUAGGUGGCAAGCGUUGUCCGGAUUUACUGGGCGUAAAGAGCGCGCAGGCGGUCGUUCAAGUCGCGUGUGAAAGCCCCCGGCUCAACUGGGGAGGGUCACGCGAUACUGAUCGACUCGAAGGCAGGAGAGGGUAGUGGAAUUCCUGGUGUAGCGGUGAAAUGCGCAGAUAUCAGGAGGAACACCGGUGGCGAAGGCGGGUCUCUGGGCCGAUACUGACGCUGAGGAGCGAAAGCAUGGGUAGCGAACAGG
rnacentral:rRNA from 1 species